CACGUAGGCCGCUUUGUAAGUCAGGGGUGAAAUUCCACGGCUCAACCGUGGAACUGCCCUUGAAACUGCAGAGCUUGAAUCCUGGAGAGGGUGGCGGAAUUCCUGGUGUAGGAGUGAAAUCCGUAGAUAUCAGGAGGAACACCGGUGGCGAAGGCGGCCACCUGGACAGGCAUUGACGCUGAGGUGCGAAAGUGUGGGGAGCAAACA
rnacentral:rRNA from 1 species